rnacentral:rRNA from 1 species
UACGAAGGGGGCCAGCGUUGUUCGGAAUCACUGGGCGUAAAGGGCGCGUAGGCGGCUUUGUAAGUCGGGGGUGAAAGCCUGUGGCUCAACCACAGAAUUGCCUUCGAUACUGCAUGGCUUGAGACCGGAAGAGGUAAGUGGAACUGCGAGUGUAGAGGUGAAAUUCGUAGAUAUUCGCAAGAACACCAGUGGCGAAGGCGGCUUACUGGUCCGGUUCUGACGCUGAGGCGCGAAAGCGUGGGGAGCAAACAGG